CUACGGGGGGCUGCAGUGAGGAAUAUUGCACAAUGGGGGGAACCCUGAUGCAGCAACGCCGCGUGGAGGAUGACGCAUUUCGGUGUGUAAACUCCUUUUAUAUGUCAAGAAAAUGACGGUAGCAUAUGAAUAAGCACCGGCUAACUCCGUGCCAGCAGCCGCGGUAAUACGGAGGGUGCAAGCGUUACUCGGAAUCACUGGGCGUAAAGGACGCGUAGGCGGGUUGGAAAGCCAGGUGUGAAAUCCUACAGCUUAACUGUAGAACUGCACUUGAAACUUCUAAUCUAGAGUAUGGGAGGGGGAGAUGGAAUUAGUGGUGUAGGGGUAAAAUCCGUAGAUAUCACUAGGAAUACCUAAAGCGAAGGCGAUCUCCUGGAACAUUACUGACGCUAAGGCGUGAAAGCGUGGGGAGCAAACAGGAUGAGAUACCCUGGUAGUC
rnacentral:rRNA from 1 species